rnacentral:rRNA from 1 species
UUCCCCUAGUAACUGCGAGUGAAGCGGGAAAAGCUCAAAUUUAAAAUCUGGCGGUCUUUGGCUGUCCGAGUUGUAAUCUAGAGAAGUGUUAUCCGCGCUGGACCGUGUACAAGUCUCCUGGAAUGGAGCGUCAUAGAGGGUGAGAAUCCCGUCUUUGACACGGACUGCCAGGGCUUUGUGAUGCGCUCUCAAAGAGUCGAGUUGUUUGGGAAUGCAGCUCAAAAUGGGUGGUAAAUUCCAUCUAAAGCUAAAUAUUGGCGAGAGACCGAUAGCGAACAAGUACCGUGAGGGAAAGAUGAAAAGAACUUUGGAAAGAGAGUUAAACAGUACGUGAAAUUGCUGAAAGGGAAACGCUUGAAGUCAGUCGCAUUGUGUGGGAAUCAACCUUGCUUUUGCUGGGUGUAUUUUCCAUAUGAUGGGUCAGCAUCAAUUUUGACCGUUGGAUAAAGUUCAAGGGAAUGUGGCAUCUUCGGAUGUGUUAUAGCCCUUGGUCGUAUACAACGAUUGGGAUUGAGGAACUCAGCACGCCGAAAGGCCGGGUCUUGUACCACGUUCGUGCUUAGGAUGCUGGCAUAAUGGCUUUAAUCGACCCGUCUUGAAACACGGACCAAGGAGUCUAACAUGCCUGCGAGUAUUUGGGUGAAAAACCCGAGUGCGUAAUGAAAGUGAAAGUUGAGAUCCCUGUCAUGGGGAGCAUCGACGCCCGGACCAGACCUUUUGUGACGGAUCUGCGGUAGAGCAUGUAUGUUGGGACCCGAAAGAUGGUGAACUAUGCCUGAAUAGGGUGAAGCCAGAGGAAACUCUGGUGGAGGCUCGUAGCGAUUCUGACGUGCAAAUCGAUCGUCAAAUUUGGGUAUAGGGGCG